rnacentral:pre_miRNA from 1 species
CGACGAGGGCCGGUCGGUCGCCCUGCGGUGGUUGUCUGUGUGUGUUUGGGUCUUGCGCUGGGGGAGGCGGGGUCGACCGCUCGCGGGGUUGGCGCGGUCGCCCGGCGCCG